GGACAGCUCACCACCGGGUUAAGAGGAUGCGGUCAACCUUCCAGACACGUCAUACCGGCAGAUCAUACAAUUACUACAUUUUCAUCAAAUUCAAUCGCAUACUUCACGUCCAUGGCAAAAACAAAGCUCAAGAUCCUGGUGCCAUAGCAUGAUCUGCAUCAAGAACAGUACUCACUCCCAAACUUUUCAGUCAAAAAGUCAUAUGCGUCCUAAUGUUCUAUGACAUCAACCUUCACCACACAAGAAAGCAGGCAAUCCAGCAUCGUUCUGAAUCCAAAGCAGGAAGAGCUUUUGCUCGUCAUCUUCUUCUUCUUCCUGCUGCUCCUCUGUUUCCUCUUCCUCUCCUUGGCGGAUGCACUGCAAAUCCUGUGGUAGUGCUUGUACCUGCGGCCACUGAAAUCCUCAUGCCACCACGUCGAAGAUGAAACGAAGCUCCCAUUAUCUGGCACCAGCUGCUUCAUCGACUCCGCGUCCGCCUCUGCUCCGCGCUCGCUAAGCUUCUCGUAUCUCAUCUUGCGAUCUCACCUUUCUCUUCUCCUCUGCGCGCGGCUCUUUCUGAUUAAUUAAGUUCCUUCACGAUUCUUUUCA